rnacentral:rRNA from 1 species
UUUUGUGGAGGGUUCGAUUCUGGCUCAGGAUGAACGCUGGCGGCGUGCUUAACACAUGCAAGUCGAACGGGAUCCAUCAGGCUUUGCUUGGUGGUGAGAGUGGCGAACGGGUGAGUAAUGCGUGACCGACCUGCCCCAUACACCGGAAUAGCUCCUGGAAACGGGUGGUAAUGCCGGAUGCUCCGACUCCUCGCAUGGGGUGUCGGGAAAGAUUUCAUCGGUAUGGGAUGGGGUCGCGUNNNNNNNNNNCGGUAUGGGAUGGGGUCGCGUCCUAUCAGGUAGUCGGCGGGGUAACGGCCCACCGAGCCUACGACGGGUAGCCGGCCUGAGAGGGCGACCGGCCACAUUGGGACUGAGAUACGGCCCAGACUCCUACGGGAGGCAGCAGUGGGGAAUAUUGCACAAUGGGCGCAAGCCUGAUGCAGCGACGCCGCGUGCGGGAUGACGGCCUUCGGGUUGUAAACCGCUUUUGAUCGGGAGCAAGCCUUCGGGUGAGUGUACCUUUCGAAUAAGCACCGGCUAACUACGUGCCAGCAGCCGCGGUAAUACGUAGGGUGCAAGCGUUAUCCGGAAUUAUUGGGCGUAAAGGGCUCGUAGGCGGUUCGUCGCGUCCGGUGUGAAAGUCCAUCGCUUAACGGUGGAUCUGCGCCGGGUACGGGCGGGCUGGAGUGCGGUAGGGGAGACUGGAAUUCCCGGUGUAACGGUGGAAUGUGUAGAUAUCGGGAAGAACACCAAUGGCGAAGGCAGGUCUCUGGGCCGUUACUGACGCUGAGGAGCGAAAGCGUGGGGAGCGAACAGGAUUAGAUACCCUGGUAGUCCACGCCGUAAACGGUGGAUGCUGGAUGUGGGGCCCGUUCCACGGGUUCCGUGUCGGAGCUAACGCGUUAAGCAUCCCGCCUGGGGAGUACGGCCGCAAGGCUAAAACUCAAAGAAAUUGACGGGGGCCCGCACAAGCGGCGGAGCAUGCGGAUUAAUUCGAUGCAACGCGAAGAACCUUACCUGGGCUUGACAUGUUCCCGACAGCCGUAGAGAUAUGGCCUCCCUUCGGGGCGGGUUCACAGGGGGUGCAUGGUCGUCGUCAGCUCGUGUCGUGAGAUGUUGGGUUAAGUCCCGCAACGAGCGCAACCCUCGCCCUGUGUUGCCAGCACGUCGUGGUGGGAACUCACGGGGGACCGCCGGGGUCAACUCGGAGGAAGGUGGGGAUGACGUCAGAUCAUCAUGCCCCUUACGUCCAGGGCUUCACGCAUGCUACAAUGGCCGGUACAACGGGAUGCGACACGGCGACGUGGAGCGGAUCCCUGAAAACCGGUCUCAGUUCGGAUUGGAGUCUGCAACCCGACUCCAUGAAGGCGGAGUCGCUAGUAAUCGCGGAUCAGCAACGCCGCGGUGAAUGCGUUCCCGGGCCUUGUACACACCGCCCGUCAAGUCAUGAAAGUGGGUAGCACCCGAAGCCGGUGGCCUAACCCUUUGUGGAUGGAGCCGUCUAAGGUGAGACUCGUGAUUGGGACUAAGUCGUAACAAGGUAGCCGUACCGGAAGGUGCGGCUGGAUCACCUCCUUUCUACGGAG